CACCACUCAUCCUUUCGUCCCCCCCUCUCCUACGCACCCAUAGCUGCCGCCCUAUCCCUCCCUUAGAUCUCGAUCCACCGCUGCCCCCAAACCCACCCCCCGUCGACGACCCUCACCGUAGACGUGGUGCUGUGGCGCCAAGGCCGGGCCGACCUGAGCGCCUUACUCCUAGCGACUGCCGUCACCGUGGCCAGGAGAGUCUCGCUCCGCGAGGCCGCACUCGCGACCUGCUACCCCGCGCGCGCCAAAUCCAGUAGUUGGCUCGCUCGCUUGCUGUUGUAGGUGAGUGCUGGUGGAGCUUGAAUCGGGGAGGAGGAAGGCUGCAGAUCCGGCGGGCGAGGAGGCAAGCCGUGGGUUGCAAGAAGGCGGUGGUGGUGUGCGCGCUCAUCGGCUUCCUCGGCGUCCUCUCCGUCGUGCUUGGCUUCGCCGCCAAGGGCACCCGCGUCAAGGUGUCGGACUGUUUCCUGAACAGGGAGAAGGACUACAAGGACGGGACGUUCUCCUAGGUCGUCUCCAAUGCCAUCGAUAUGAAGCUCAGGGAUGACCUUGAGAGGCUCAAGAAGAUCAGGGAGCUCUGCAUCCGAGUCUCAUCCAUCCUCGGCAGGAAGGAGCUGGGCCAAGGGAGCAAGAAGCACUUCUGGUUACUUGGGGCUAGAUCGAGUAAUAUGGCGCACCAUGGCGUGUGGCGGCCUAUUUUGCUUCCAAGAGAAGUACUGUUUAUUUGAAAUGAGAUGUACUCGUAUACUGCCUAGUAAAAUUGAAUGAUUGCCAUGUACUAUCUAUGAUGUAGUGAGCUGUAGGAGUGAAAUGAAAUUUUAUUUGUUGU